UUCGCCGCCCCUCCUCGGUCCUGCUCUCAAACCUUGCUCCCAGCAGCCCCCCAGCGCACCCAACCUACAGGAAAGUUGCUCCGGAGAGGUGGAGGGGCGUCAUCGCCUCCUAGCAACGCUCCUAGCAACCGGGUAACAUCUGCUCCCUCUGGUCCAAUGCGAGCCGAGCACAGCUGCGCGCCCGCCUCGCGUUCCGAAGCCGGAGCGAGAGGCGCUUCAGAGACUGGAGGGACGGACCUGCAGGAGCCAGGGCUGGCCGCCGAGCUGCAGUUGCCGCUGCUGCCGCUGUCGCGCCGCCACCGCUGUCGCUGUCAGUGCCCGUCUGAAGAGUGACAGCGCCGCAAAAGCAGGAGGGAGCAUCGAACCCCGCGCCUUUACCAAACAGGUGUAUGCGCCGAUCUCCUGGCGAGUGGACCCAGCUCGCAAGGUAACCAUUCAUGAGCCUGAGGCUGUGAGAAAUGCUCGCUGUGCAAAGGGGAACUCGCACCAGAUUUUCUGAAGCUGUCCUAGAAAUACACUUUUCAGAUUGAUUCAGCAUUACCAGCUUAUCCAACAAAAGUAUUAACAUAUACGUUAACAACGUCGAAAGUAGCCUACUUUAAGAGAAAAUAUGCAGAAGAAGAAGAUUUACAUCAAGAUUACCAUGGGUAUUUUCCAAAACACCUGAUAUUGCCUGAGGACAGGACUUGCAUUCUCAAACUUUCUCUGGAGAAGCUCAGGUUUCUCGAAGACCCAGAAACCUACUUAAGAAGGUCUGUGUUAAUUAACAACUUGCUGAGGAAGAUACAUCUAGAGACGGAGAAAGAGAGCUAUGAAUACUUUAAAGAAGCUCCCUGUUAUAAGACUGCUUAUUCUGAUACAAGAAAACGGCUGAAGUUUAUGGUACAGGAAUGCUGCUCUCAGUCUCUCUAUUAUGAAGAGCUGCAUUCAUAUCAUAUUGUGCCUUAUGCUUCGGAGAAUGCCAUUUAUGGAAUGGGCUACACUCGCAGCCAUUUGGAGCAAAAUUCUCAGUUGCUUAUUUAUAAAAUGAAUUAAAGUAACUGUUAAGUCCAUUGAUACUUUGUUUCUAAAUGCCUGAACUGUUCAUAGUGAAGAUGUUAACAUAAGGCGCUAAUUCCCAGUGCACUUCAGUUCAAAGAUGAGAUGCACACGGAACUGAUUGGAGAGAGUCCUGGUUGUUACUCAGCAGUCCUUGUAUCAGCAAGUCAAACUGAAAAUAUGCCCACCCAGUAUAAGGCAGCAAACAAGCACUUUAGAAGCAAAGUCUUUUUUUUUUUUUUUUUAAGAUAAAUCAUGUAGGAAAGGACCUAUAUCAAGUUCUUAUACAGAUUUAAACAUUUCAAGCCCCUUAUUUCCAAAUUCUGCCACUCUUAGUGGAAAGUAACAAAAAGUAACAGAUUGAACUGAUAAUGUCAUGUCCCUGAAGAUUAAGGGUGGAAGGAAUUUAAUUUUCUGUAAAUGACGAAGAGAAGGGAAGGUUGUUGCUGAAAUGCUUUGGCUUGUCAAGCAUUGUGCCAAAUAAUCGUUUGAUGCUGUUCUCCUUUUACUGUUAGCGGCAAUUUAAGAUGCGGCAAACCCAUCACAACUGAGCUGCUGAAUGUAACAACCAGAUGACUCCAAACUGAUCCCUUUUACCAUUUUUUUUUUUUUUUCGGCUUGAUAGACUUUUCUCUUUAAAAGUGAAGUUUAAUAAAAUAGCCUUGCAGAUGGGCUUAUCUCUUAAGUUCCAGGGGUCAGUGACAAUUUGUGGUGGGCCUUUAGUUAAGAGUUUAAGUUUUAUUUAUGAUGUCAUUGUUAUAGGCUGUGAAGCUCAGGAAAAGGGUAGGCAGGUAAAAUUUGUUUUUAAUAGACUGAUAGUUAAAAAAAUCAUAUCUGCAAAAAUUGAUGAGAACAACAGAAAUUCUACAUGAUGUUAUUUCUUCAUCAAAGAGUGCAUUUAAGGCUGCCUGGAUGAAACUUUGCACUGAUUUUUGUAUAAUAGUCGACCAUUCGCUAUUUGACAAAAUGUUUGAGAAUGCUUUUGGUGGUGAAGUUUAGAUAAGUUCCUGUAUUUUGUGAUUUGAAAGAUAAUUAUUUAACAAGUUGGAUAGAUUCCUGAAAUUGUUUGAAAUGGUUCAUGAUGUUCUUUGAGGUUUGAGUGAGUUGUCUGGUUUCAAUGUCCAGAGUCAUGUCCUAUGGAGCAUAUCAUUUAAAGAAUUGUCAUUAACUGAUGAAACAGAUUGGGAAAACUAGGUGCCAAAGAAAAUACCAAAGACCCAAAGAUGAGUGUUAGAGAGACUAUGAAAAUGAAGAGAAGAAUCGAAAGGAAAGAUUGCUAAGGACGUAGAAGAACAUUGUUAACGGGUUUUGGAACGAUUUGCUUGCUAAUGUGCUUUCAGAGCACUUUAUACGUAAUAAUGAUAAUCAAGGACACUGCUUUAAAUGAAGAUACCACAGGCCUUCAGUGAUCGUGUAUUUCCACAAAUUUAAAUGUGGUGACUUGUCAACAUUGUAUCUUCCCUGAUGGAACACUAUCUUGUAACCAAGAAGCCCUUUUCUCUUCAAGAGAAUUUUACUUUUGGUUGUGAUUCACUACUCGCUCCCUCUAAUGAAUCAUCAGGGUGAUUAACGUGGAUGCUUUUGAUAUAAAGAAUAUUGGUGCCCUAAUUAGCAUACAUUGUUGAAGACCACAUAGAUAUAUAAUUGAUAAAAGUAUCAGGUUUAUCUUGAAUAGCUCAAUUAGGAUUAGGAAAAAAUGCUUUAGAACCAACUGAAAAAUUAUAAUUGAGGCUAAUUUUUAAAAGCAAUUUAGCACGAAUGGUGAGAUAACUUUGAAAUAUAAAUAUAAAUAUUAAAAAAUUAAUUUAAGAGCAAAAUUUGGCACCAAAGUUCAAAAACUUUAUUUCACUAUUUAUAAAAUACCUUAUUUCUCAGAAUGCUUCUUUUAAAAUGUAGAUUUCUUAAACAAUGGGGAUCCUAAUUGAACAGACUCCAGAUUUGAUAGGAUAAUUAUACUAUCAUAUAGUUUGAAAAAUAGAAUUAGCUCUCUAAUAGUUUUACGUUUUUUGCUGAAAGGAGCAUUUGGCUUGGUUUAGGACAGUGUCUAUUAAAAAAAGCACACCAGUGCCAGUAGAUGUGACUUACAAAAAUGCCACAUGUUGAAAUUGUUUGAGGAUAGAAAUGCACAUACUUUGGAAUAGAACAAAGGGGGAGAGAAAAAAAUUACCAGGAAAAUGUGAAAUUGUAAUAUUUAUUGUAUGUCGGAAAUCUUAAACAAAGCAUGGGCAAUGAACCAGUAACAGAUGUAAAGUCUGUUUUAUUUGGUGACAUGGUUAAUUGAGCUCUGUGAUCUAUACAUUCAUAUGUAGACAAGGAACUAUCUCAGAAACCAGAGGUAUUUUUGAAUAUGUUUUUUU